rnacentral:rRNA from 1 species
AGAAGGAAGCUUGCUUCUUUCAAAUCUAGUGGCAAACGGGUGAGUAACACGUAAACAACCUGCCUUCAGGAUGGGGACAACAGACGGAAACGACUGCUAAUACCGAAUACGUUCCUUAGGUCGCAUGACCCAAGGAAGAAAGGGUGGCCUCUACUUGUAAGCUAUCGCCUGAAGAGGGGUUUGCGUCUGAUUAGGUAGUUGGUGAGGUAAUGGCCCACCAAGGCGACGAUCGGUAGCCGGACUGAGAGGUUGAACGGCCACAUUGGGACUGAGACACGGCCCAGACUCC